UAGGGAAUAUUGGACAAUGGGGGCAACCCUGAUCCAGCCAUGCCGCGUGAGUGAAGAAGGCCCUCGGGUUGUAAAGCUCUUUUGUCCGGAAAGAAAAGCUUCGGGUUAAUACCCCGGGGUUCUGACGGUACCGGAAGAAUAAGCACCGGCUAACUUCGUGCCAGCAGCCGCGGUAAUACGAAGGGUGCAAGCGUUACUCGGAAUUACUGGGCGUAAAGCGUGCGUAGGUGGUUGUUUAAGUCUGAUGUGAAAGCCCUGGGCUCAACCUGGGAAAGGCAUUGGAAACUGGGCAGCUAGAGUGCGGUAGAGGGUAGUAGAAUUCCCGGUGUAGCAGUGAAAUGCGUAGAGAUCGGGAGGAACAUCAGUGGCGAAGGCGACUGCCUGGACCAGCACUGACACUGAGGCACGAAAGCGUGGGGAGCAAACA
rnacentral:rRNA from 1 species